GGUUCUGGCCAUACCACUCUUAUUAUACCAGAUUUCAUUUGCUCUCAGAAGCUAAUCAGGAUUGGGUCUAGUUAGUACUUGGAUGAGAAACACCUGGAAACAUCAGGCGUUGUAGGCU
rnacentral:rRNA from 1 species